rnacentral:rRNA from 1 species
UACAGAGGUCCCGAGCGUUGUUCGGAUUCACUGGGCGUAAAGGGUGCGUAGGCGGCUUUGCAAGUCUGAUGUGAAAUCUCCGGGCCCAACCCGGAAACGGCAUUAGAAACUGCGGGGCUAGAGGCUUGGAGGGGGAACUGGAAUGCUCGGUGUAGCAGUGAAAUGCGUAGAGAUCGAGCGGAACACCAGUGGCGAAGGCGAGUUCCUGGACAAGACCUGACGCUGAGGCACGAAAGCCAGGGGAGCAAACAGG